UACGUAGGUGGCAAGCGUUGUCCGGAAUUAUUGGGCGUAAAGGGAGCGCAGGUGGGAAUGUAAGUCAGUCUUAAAAGUGCGGGGCUCAACCCCGUGAGGGGAUUGAAACUACAUUUCUUGAGUGCAGGAGAGGAAAGUGGAAUUCCUAGUGUAGCGGUGAAAUGCGUAGAGAUUAGGAGGAACACCAGUGGCGAAGGCGACUUUCUGGACUGUAACUGACACUGAGGCUCGAAAGCCAGGGGAGCGAACGGGAUUAGAUACCCCGGUAGUCCUGGCCGUAAACGAUGGAUACUAGGUGUGGGAGGUAUCGACCCCUUCCGUGCCGGAGUUAACGCAAUAAGUAUCCCGCCUGGGGAGUACGGCCGCAAGGCUGAA
rnacentral:rRNA from 1 species